AUUUUGGACAAUGGGGGAAACCCUGAUCCAGCCAUCCCGCGUGUAUGAUGAAGGCCUUCGGCUUGUAAAGUAUUGUUGCCAGAGAAGAAAAGGUACCUCCUAAUACGAGGUACUGCUGACGGUAUCUGCAGCAUAAGCACCGGCGAACUACGUUCCAGCAGCCGCGGUACUACGUAGGGUGCAAGCGUUCACCGGAAUUACUGGGCGUAAAGCGUGUGUAGGCGGUUCGGAAAGAAAGAUGUGAAAGCCCAGGGCUCAACCUUGGAACUGCAUUUUUAACUGCCGAACUAGAGUAUGGCAGAGGGGGGUAGAAUUCCACGUGUAGCAGUGAAAUGCGUAGAUAUGUGGAGGAAUACCGAUGGCGAAGGCAGCCCCCUGGGAUAAUACUGACGCUCAGACACGAAAGCGUGGGGAGCAAACA
rnacentral:rRNA from 1 species